CCUGUUUCAAACCAAAACUCCCCCGUUUCCCCUGGGCCAGAGCCCCUCUGGCACAAUUUCUUUUCAAGUGAGCCUUUUCAUUUUUUAAAAUUUUCCCAUAAUGUUCGAUAUUUGUAUUGGGCUCAAUUAAAUUUGGAUUGACGGAAAGUCUAUAGUAGGUAAAGCGUUCCUUAAUAAACCUACGCUCGAACUCGACUGAAGAAGUACUUACCACUAAUAUGAGUAUUUGUAUUUUGGUAGCUGAGUAUGAAAUUCCAAAGAGUGCUCGGGAUCAGGAGCGGAAAUUGUGGUUACCAGGAAGUAGACCGUGGAAGAGACAAGAACAGUGGAGAAUCUUCCCAAGUAUGCGUCAGCCAGAAAGCC